rnacentral:rRNA from 1 species
CGGGGUGCAGCAGGCGCGAAAACUUUACAAUGCUGGCAACAGCGAUAAGGGGACCUCGAGUGCCAGGAUACAAUCUUGGCUGUCGUGAUGCCUAAAAAGCAUUACAUAGCAAGGGCCGGGCAAGACCGGUGCCAGCCGCCGCGGUAACACCGGCGGCUCGAGUGGUAACCGCUAUUAUUGGGUCUAAAGGGUCUGUAGCCGGCCGGAUAAGUCUCUUGGGAAAUCCAGCAGCUCAACUGUUGGGCUUCCAGGGGAUACUGUUCGGCUCGAGGCCGGGAGAGGUGAGAGGUACUUCAGGGGUAGGGGUGAAAUCUUGUAAUCCUUGAAGGACCACCAGUGGCGAAGGCGUCUCACCAGAACGGUCCUGACGGCAAGGGACGAAAGCUAGGGGCACGAACCGGAUUAGAUACCCGGGUAGUCCUAGCCGUAAACGAUACUCGCUAGGUGUCGGCCACGGUGCGACCGUGGUCGGUGCCGUAGGGAAGCCGUGAAGCGAGCCACCUGGGAAGUACGGCCGCAAGGCUGAAACUUAAAGGAAUUGGCGGGGGAGCACAAGGGCGAUUCGCGG